CGCAGGGGGCAGCUUACACAUGCAGUCGAGCGGGGUGAUGGUGCUUGCACUAUCACCUAGCGGCGGACGGGUGAGUAAUGCUUAGGAAUCUGCCUAUUAGUGGGGGACAACAUUUCGAAAGGAAUGCUAAUACCGCAUACGUCCUACGGGAGAAAGCAGGGGAUCUUCGGACCUUGCGCUAAUAGAUGAGCCUAAGUCGGAUUAGCUAGUUGGUGGGGUAAAGGCCUACCAAGGCGACGAUCUGUAGCGGGUCUGAGAGGAUGAUCCGCCACACUGGGACUGAGACACGGCCCAGACUCCUACGGGAGGCAGCAGUGGGGAAUAUUGGACAAUGGGCGCAAGCCUGAUCCAGCCAUGCCGCGUGUGUGAAGAAGGCCUUAUGGUUGUAAAGCACUUUAAGCGAGGAGGAGGCUACUUUAGAUAAUACCUAGAGAUAGUGGACGUUACUCGCAGAAUAAGCACCGGCUAACUCUGUGCCAGCAGCCGCGGUAAUACAGAGGGUGCAAGCGUUAAUCGGAUUUACUGGGCGUAAAGCGCGCGUAGGCGGCUAAUUAAGUCAAAUGUGAAAUCCCCGAGCUUAACUUGGGAAUUGCAUUCGAUACUGGUUAGCUAGAGUGUGGGAGAGGAUGGUAGAAUUCCAGGUGUAGCGGUGAAAUGCGUAGAGAUCUGGAGGAAUACCGAUGGCGAAGGCAGCCAUCUGGCCUAACACUGACGCUGAGGUGCGAAAGCAUGGGGAGCAAACAGGAUUAGAUACCCUGGUAGUCCAUGCCGUAAACGAUGUCUACUAGCCGUUGGGGCCUUUGAGGCUUUAGUGGCGCAGCUAACGCGAUAAGUAGACCGCCUGGGGAGUACGGUCGCAAGACUAAAACUCAAAUGAAUUGACGGGGGCCCGCACAACCGGUGGAGCAUGUGGUUUAAUUCGAUGCAACGCGAAGAACCUUACCUGGCCUUGACAUAAUAAGAACUUUCCAGAGAUGGAAUGGUGGCGUUCGGGAACUUACAUACAGGUGCUGCAUGGCUGUCGUCAGCUCCGGUCCGGAGAUGUUGGGUUAGUUCCGCAACCAGCGGAAGCCUUUUCCUUAUUUGCUAGCAGUCAUGGCAGUACGUUAAGGAUUCUGCCAUUGACCACUUGUAAGAAUGCGGGGACGACGUCAAUUCAUUUUGGGCCCUUAGGGCCAGG
rnacentral:rRNA from 1 species